rnacentral:rRNA from 1 species
GAUGAGCGCUAGCGGCAGGCUUAAUACAUGCAAGUCGAGGGGCAUCAAGGUACACGAAAGUGUAUUGUUGGCGACCGGCGGACGGGUGAGUAAUAGGUAGGUAACCUACCUCAUACUGAGGCAUAGCUGGGAGAAAUUCCAGGUAAUUCCUCAUGAGGUUAUAUGACACAUGUGAUAUAAUCAAAGGUAUCGCAAGGUACUGGUAUGAGAUGGGCUUACUGACCAUUAGCUAGUUGGUGAGAUAAGAGCUCACCAAGGCGAAGAUGGUUAGGGGUUUGAGAGAGAGAUCCCCCACAUUGGAACUGAGAUACGGUCCAGACUCCUACGGGAGGCAGCAGUAGGGAAUAUUGGGCAAUGGGCGGAAGCCUGACCCAGCCAUGCCGCGUGAAGGAAGACGGCCUUAUGGGUUGUAAACUUCUUUACUAUGCGACUAACUAGAUUUACGAGAUAAUUCUAUAGAAUGUAGCAUAGCAAAAGCACC